AGAGUUUGAUCCUAGCUCAGGAUGAACGCUAGCGGUAUGCUUAACACAUGCAAGUCGUACGAAGAAGAAAUUCUUAGUGGCGGACGGGUGAGUAACGCGUGAGAAUUUGCCUUUAGGAAGAGGAUAACUAUUAGAAAUAAUUGCUAAAACUCUAUAUGCCAUACGGUGAAAAAAGUAAUUUGCCUAAAGAGAAGCUCGCGUCUGAUUAGCUAGUUGGUGGGGUAAUAGCCUACCAAGGCGACGAUCAGUAGCUGGUCUGAGAGGACGAUCAGCCACACUGGAACUGAGAGACGGUCCAGACUCCUACGGGAGGCAGCAGUGAGGAAUAUUGGUCAAUGGGCGCAAGCCUGAACCAGCCAUGCCGCGUGCAGGAUGAAGCAUCUAUGGUGUGUAAACUGCUUUUAUACGGGAAGAAACCCUGCCACGUGUGGCAGAUUGACGGUACCGUAAGAAUAAGGACCGGCUAACUCCGUGCCAGCAGCCGCGGUAAUACGGAGGGUCCAAGCGUUAUCCGGAAUCAUUGGGUUUAAAGGGUCCGUAGGCGGCCCGGUAAGUCAGUGGUGAAAUCUCCCCGCUCAACGGGGAAACGGCCAUUGAUACUGCCGGGCUUGAAUUACCAGGAAGUAACUAGAAUAUGUAGUGUAGCGGUGAAAUGCUUAGAUAUUACAUGGAAUACCAAUUGCGAAGGCAGGUUACUACUGGUAUAUUGACGCUGAUGGACGAAAGCGUGGGUAGCGAACAGGAUUAGAUACCCUGGUAGUCCACGCCGUAAACGAUGGAUACUAGCUGUUGGGAGCGAUCUCAGUGGCUAAGCGAAAGUGAUAAGUAUCCCACCUGGGGAGUACGAACGCAAGUUUG
rnacentral:rRNA from 1 species